rnacentral:rRNA from 1 species
AGUGAACGCUGGCGGUACGCCUAACACAUGCAAGUCGAACGGCAGCACAGUAAGAGCUUGCUCUUACGGGUGGCGAGUGGCGGACGGGUGAGGAAUACAUCGGAAUCUACUUUUUCGUGGGGGAUAACGUAGGGAAACUUACGCUAAUACCGCAUACGACCUGCGGGUGAAAGCAGGGGAUCUUCGGACCUUGCGCGAUUGAAUGAGCCGAUGUCGGAUUAGCUAGUUGGCGGGGUAAAGGCCCACCAAGGCGACGAUCCGUAGCUGGUCUGAGAGGAUGAUCAGCCACACUGGAACUGAGACACGGUCCAGACUCCUACGGGAGGCAGCAGUGGGGAAUAUUGGACAAUGGGCGCAAGCCUGAUCCAGCCAUACCGCGUGGGUGAAGAAGGCCUUCGGGUUGUAAAGCCCUUUUGUUGGGAAAGAAAAGCAGCAGGUUAAUACCCCGCUGUUCUGACGGUACCCAAAGAAUAAGCACCGGCUAACUUCGUG